rnacentral:rRNA from 1 species
UACGGAGGGUGCGAGCGUUGCCCGGAAUCACUGGGCGUAAAGCGGGUGUAGGCGGUUCUUUAAGUCGGAUGUGAAAUCCAGCGGCCCAACCGCUGAAUUGCAUCCGAUACUGGGGAACUUGAGGACGGUAGAGGUCGGUGGAAUAUCCGGUGUACCGGUGAAAUGGACAGAUAUCGGAUGGAACACCAGUGGCGAAGGCGGCCGACUGGGCCGAUCCUGACGCUGAGACCCGAAAGCCAGGGUAGCGAACCGG